UGCUUAUGGCGGCGGCGGCAGCAGUGGCUAUGGUGGUGGUCAGAGUACGAGUUCUUGGGACUGAACUGAAUUCUGGUUAGAAGUGAAAAAUGGGUCAACCUGUUGGGUGUGAAAAAUGGGUCAACCGUUAUCGAUUAGUCCCUGUUGGAUGGAGCGAAUGCCUGAAAUUUGUUGCUUGACUUGCGAGUACGGUGUCAGGAGGUUUCCCAGUGCCUUAAUCUUGCA
rnacentral:lncRNA from 1 species